rnacentral:misc_RNA from 1 species
AACGCACAUUGCGCCCUUUGGCAUUCCGAAGGGCAUGCCUGUUCGAGCGUCAUUACAACCACUCAAGCUCUCGCUUGGCCUUGGGGCACCCGGCGUCGGGGCCCUCAAAACCAGCGGCGGUGCUCGGCGGCUCUACGCGUAGUAAUACUCCUCGCGUCUGACCCCGGCGAGCCACCGGCCGGCAACCCCCCACACUUUACCGGUUGACCUCGGAUCAGGUAGGGAUACCCGCUGAACUUAA